rnacentral:rRNA from 1 species
GUGGCGAACGGGUGAGUAACACGUGGGUGAUCUGCCCUGCACUUCGGGAUAAGCCUGGGAAACUGGGUCUAAUACCGGAUAGGACCACGGGAUGCAUGUCUUGUGGUGGAAAGCGCUUUAGCGGUGUGGGAUGAGCCCGCGGCCUAUCAGCUUGUUGGUGGGGUGACGGCCUACCAAGGCGACGACGGGUAGCCGGCCUGAGAGGGUGUCCGGCCACACUGGGACUGAGAUACGGCCCAGACUCCUACGGGAGGCAGCAGUGGGGAAUAUUGCACAAUGGGCGCAAGCCUGAUGCAGCGACGCCGCGUGGGGGAUGACGGCCUUCGGGUUGUAAACCUCUUUCACCAUCGACGAAGGUCCGGGUUCUCUCGGAUUGACGGUAGGUGGAGAAGAAGCACCGGCCAACUACGUGCCAGCAGCCGCGGUAAUACGUAGGGUGCGAGCGUUGUCCGGAAUUACUGGGCGUAAAGAGCUCGUAGGUGGUUUGUCGCGUUGUUCGUGAAAUCUCACGGCUUAACUGUGAGCGUGCGGGCGAUACGGGCAGACUAGAGUACUGCAGGGGAGACUGGAAUUCCUGGUGUAGCGGUGGAAUGCGCAGAUAUCAGGAGGAACACCGGUGGCGAAGGCGGGUCUCUGGGCAGUAACUGACGCUGAGGAGCGAAAGCGUGGGGAGCGAACAGGAUUAGAUACCCUGGUAGUCCAC